UACGGAGGGUGCAAGCGUUAUCCGGAUUCACUGGGUUUAAAGGGUGCGUAGGAGGGCAGGUAAGUCAGUGGUGAAAUCUCCAAGCUUAACUUGGAAACUGCCGUUGAUACUAUCUGUCUUGAAUACCGUGGAGAUGAGCGGAAUAUGUCAUGUAGCGGUGAAAUGCUUAGAUAUGACAUAGAACACCCAUUGCGAAGGCAGCUCGCUACACUAUUAUUGACGCUGAGGCACGAAAGCGUGGGGAUCAAACAGG
rnacentral:rRNA from 1 species